CGAUCAUGAACAAACUUUGGGGACAAUCAUUGCUGCUCAACGUCGUCUUUUAGCAUCAAAAGAGACAUGCAGCUGAUUGAAAAACAUUCCCGGGACACCAUAUCAAUACCUUUGCAGCGAAAGGUGAAAUAGUUUUAGAGCUGGCCAUUGCUCGUUGGGCAAUCCCCUCCCAAACACACCACAAAACGCCGCACGAUGGAAGAGCCACAGCGGGUUUCCCCUUCCAUAGUCGACGGAUGCCUGUGUCGCUAUAGAUUCCCGGAUUGAUUAUUCAGAUCUCCUGCUCGACUGCAAGAAUGCAUUGGACACCGGCUAUUUCCUCCUGGUAUGCUUCUUGAAGUGUGAAGUUACCCCAUGAAUCACUCCAGAACAACUUUCCAGGUCCAGUGUAAACCCUCUAAGUACGAACAGCAGAU